AUUGAACGCUGGCGGCAGGCCUAACACAUGCAAGUCGAGCGAGCGGCGGACGGGUGAGUAAUGUAUGGGGACUGCCCGAUAGAGGGGGAUAAAUACUGGAAACGGUAGCUAAUACCCCAUACUAUCGGAUAACCCAUAUGGGAUUAGCUAGUGGGUGAGUUAAUGGCUCACCUAGGCGACGAUCCCUAGCUGGUCUGAGAGGAUGAUCAGCCACACUGGAACGGAGACACGGCCCAGACUCCUACGGAGGCAGCAGUGGGGAAUAUUGCACAAUGGGCGCAAGCCUGAUGCAGCCAUGCCGCGUGUAUGAAGAAGGCCUUAGGGUUGUAAAGUACUUUCAGUGAGGAGGCGUUACCGGCAGAAGAAGCACCGGCUAACUCCGUGCCAGCAGCCGCGGUAAUUC
rnacentral:rRNA from 1 species